AAGUCGUAACAAGGUUUCCGUAGGUGAACCUGCGGAAGGAUCAUUAAUGAAUUAAAAUUAAAAAGGUUGUUGCUGCUGGUCUCUCUUCGGGGAGGCACCGUGCACGCUCCUUUUUAUAUUCAUCCACCCCAAUCGUGCACUUACCGUAGGCCGGAGAAUUCUUUGGCCUAUGUAAUUUUAAACACACACCGUAAAAUAAAAUGAACGUAUACUUUUACCCUUUGCGGUAAAUAAAAAAAAAUUAAUACAACUUUCAACAACGGAUCUCUUGGCUCUC
rnacentral:misc_RNA from 1 species